GUAAGAUGUGGUUUCUCCCCAUGAGCCCUCAAAUCUGCUGCAAAGACAGGAACCCAUAGAUAGCCUUUUCAAUGUGACAACCACAUACUUUGCAUACAGAAACCAUUUAUUUUUCAGAACAAUCCUCUGGGGUAGCUGCUAUUAUUAUCCCCUCUUUAUAGAUAAGGAGAUGGAGGCCCAGAGCAAAAGGCAGGAUGAUUAGAGCUGCAUUCUGUGAAGAUCUCCAUGGCAGCAGGACAUUCAUGACAGACAGGAGAGGCCAGGGAUGAGGAAUGACAAAGCGUUUGGUGACUGCAGUGGGAAUAAAGACAAAGGUUUGGACUCCCAAGGUGCCCCCGUGGAUUGAUGAUCAGUGUGGAGUGUGAGGGCAAGAACACUUCUGCCUGGCUCCCCGGAGAAAGGUCAAGAAAUGAAGAGAUUACAGCUGCAUAGAGAUGCCUGUCAAAUGACAAGUGCCUGGAGAAAGCAUUUUGAUGAAUGAACAACAGAAUGAUCACAAAACAGCCUUUGGGGCCAGCAGUGUGAUCUGGGUUGAGACUCCACUGCUCUUGUGGGAUCCUGGAGUGUCUGAUGGGAUGGGAAUUACAGUGGAUCCUUCACGACAGGGGUUUGAAGGGCAUGGUCCACUUUGGUCCACCUCUGCCACUCUGAGACAGAAGCACCAACCCCUCUUCUUCCUCCUCCUCCUCAGUCUACUCAGUGUGAAGAUAACAAGAAUGAAGAACUUUAUGAUGAUGCAUUUCCACUUAACGAACAAUAAAUAUAUUUUCUUUUCCUUGUGACUUUCUUAAUAAUAUUUUCUUUUCUCUAUCUUACUUUAUGGUAAGAAUCAGUAUAUAAUACAUAUAACAUACAAAAUAUGUGUUAAUCAGCUGUUUAUGUUAUUGAUAAGGCUCUGGUUGACAGUAGGCUAUUAGUAGUAGUUCUGUUUGGGGGGACUCAAAGUUAUACAUGGAUUUUCAGUUGCAUGGGAGCUGGCACCCCAAUCCUUGCGUUAUUCAAGGGUCAACUGUGCAUAGUUUCAGUGGUAAAUUUGAAAUGCAUAAUGCGGGGAUUCUCAAAUUUGAAGGAAGUGAUAUGGGGCAAAUGAAGCAAUCGUAGUGUGAAUGGGGUUAUCUGGGACUUGGGGACAAUGUCUGGUAAUAAACAAUGGUGUAGUUUGACAGGCCUGUGCUCUCUAUGUCAAUCGUUUCCCAGCACUGAUGCUGGUUUGUGAUGAGUGUUUCCCAAUCCACAGCAAAAUUAGAAAAAUAAGGCAAGUAUUGGGAGUUUUUUUCUAAUGCCUUCACUUCGUAAAAUUAAAAAGUCAUCUCACCCCUACUUAAAAAAUAUUUUUUCUGGUCUAGUAAGUACUAAAAUUAGGGAAACAUUGGUCUAUACAGCCUUGCUAAAUAGCAGUGUAGCCCUUCCCACAUUCCUUGACCACUUCCCAGGAAACCUGGUAUUGGUGAACAAUAAAUAAUCCUGAUUUUAACCUUUUUUCAGCCUCUGCCUUUCCUGGCUGAAGAGAUUUAGUUGGUAAACCUGCGUAUGAAUUAGUAGGCCUUUUCAUACAUCCUGUGACCACAGCUUACCUCUGAUUUCAAGUUAUACUCCUACAAAAAGUCCAGAAGGAAAAUGACUAUUUGUUUACUUCACAGUCUAAAGCUAAAUGUGGAUUUUAAUGAUUAUUACCAAUAUUCAGUAGCAUUUUUUCAAUGCACACAAGUGUAUAUCCAUUUCCCUGGUGAAAUCCAUGUUUUUCUGGCUGAAUAGAACAUCUAAUGGCACAAAGUUUUGAAUGCAUUCUGGAAAAAAUAACAUAUACAUUGCAUCUGAGCUUUUUUUUUUUUUGCACAAUUUAAGAAGACCUUUUUCUUUAAAAAUAAACAAAAUUGCAUAUAUUUUUUAAAAAGUUCAUAAAACUUACAAAAACUUGACUUGUCUUAAUUAAUUCUGUUUCUUAGAAAAGGGUUCCUGAGGGGGAUGAGGGAUCAAAGACUACACAUUGGGUACAGUAAAUACUGCUCAGGUGAUGGGCACACUAAAAUCUCAGAAAUCACCGCUAAAGAACUUAUUCAUGUACAAUAAAUAUAAAUUAAAAAAAAGAAAAAAAGUGUUCCAACUUGGUGAGACUGAUUGAAAU
rnacentral:lncRNA from 1 species